rnacentral:lncRNA from 1 species
CGUAAAGGUACCUGGAAGUGUGGUCAGGAGAGGUGAAAUGAGGACCAAAAGAUGGAUGCCGUAGCAGUACGCAGCAGGCUGUGUGCUGACGGGGCUUUAUUUGGAUGUCUGUUAACAAGUGGAGGUGGUGGGAUGAUGCAGGGGUCAGGCACAGACAGUUCGAGAGAGGUUUGGGUGGGUUUAGGUGUUUGUUUGCCCAAGGGUUUGGAUUCACGUCCUUGUCUUUUUCCAGGAGUUCACCCACCAUGUAACGUCGAGAUGAAAAGCACAUUAUCCUGGUCCUGGAGUUUAUAAUCCAGCUCACCCAUUAGCUCCCAGUCUGCGUCGUUGAUGAGCACCAAAAUUCCUGGCCUCACAGAUUCCCCUUGCAUAAAUAAUUCCGGCCGCUCUUUCAGCAGAUUCUGUUUGAUCCACUUUAGCAGGUUUCUGAUAUCCCAAGGCUCUGGCUGAGAAGGCAAAGUCACCUGAUGCUUUUUUACACCAUCGAACAAGAGUUCUGCACCACCCCCGAACUCCACCUGCAGCGACACGGGCGCCGCCAUCUUGGCGGCGGCGAG